CCAGUAGUGCCACAUCCUCUCCAACACUUGUUGCUUGUUGUCUUGGUAAUUAUAGCCAUUCUAACAGGUGUAAGGUGAUAUCUCAUUGUAGUUCUGAUUUGCAUUUCCCUAAUGAUUCAUGAUGUUAAACAUCUUUCCAUGUGCCUCUUGCCCAUCCGUAUAUCUUCUCUGGAGAAACAUCUGUUCGUAUCUUCUGCCCAUUUCUUGAUCAGGUUGUUUGAUUUUUUGUUGUUGAGUUGUAUGAGUUCUUUCUAUAUUCUGGGGGAGAUUAACCCCAUGUUGGAUAUACAAUUUGCAAAUAUUUUCUCCCAGUUGGUGGGUUGUCUUUUCAUUUUGUUCCUAAUUUCCUUUGCCCGGUAGAAGGUAUUUAGCCUGAUGUAAUCCCAUUUAUUUAUUUUUUCUGUUGUUUCCCUUGCCUGAGUAGACAUGGUAUUCAAAAAGAUGCUUCUAAGUCUGAUGUCAGUGUACUGCCCAUAUCUUCUUCUAGUAGUUUUAUGGUUUCACACCUAACCUUCAAUCCUUAAUCCAUUUUGAGUUAAUUUUUGUGUACGGCAAAAGAUAACAAUCUACUUUCGUUCUUUUGCAUGUGGUGGUCUAUUUUUCCAAACACCAUUUAUUGAGGAGACUUUCCUUUCUCCAUUAUAUAUUCUUGGCUCCUUUGUCAAAGAUUAGCUGUCCAUAGACGUGUGGUUUUAUUUCUGGGCUCUCAAUUCUGUUCCAUUGAUCUAUGUGUCUGUUUUAGUACCAUUAUGAUGCUGUUUUGGUUACUGUAGCUUUGUAGUAUAUUUUGAAGUCAGGGAUUGUGAUGCCUCCAGCUUUCUUAUUUUUUUCUCAGGAUUGCGUUAGCUAUUUGGGAUCUUUUCUUGCCCCAAAUGAAUUUUAGGAUUCUUUGUUCUAUUUCUGUGAAGAACGUCAUUGGGAUUGUGAUUGGGAUUGCAUUGAAUCUGUAGAUGGUUUUAGGUACUAUGAACAUUUUAUCUAUGUUUAAUCUUUCAAUCCAUGUGUACGGACUAUUUUUCCAUUUCUUUAUGAUAUCCUUUAUUUCUUUCAACAAUGUCCUAUAUGCUUCAUUGUAUGGGUCUUUCACCUCCUUGGUUAAAUUUAUUCUUAGAUAUUCUUUUCUUUUUGUUGCAAUUGUAUAUGGGAUUUCUCUUAGUUCAUUAUGAGAGUAUAGAAAUGCAACUGGUUUUCUAAGUUGAUA
rnacentral:lncRNA from 1 species